rnacentral:rRNA from 1 species
UACGUAGGGACCUAGCGUUGUCCGGAAUUAUUGGGCGUAAAGGGCGCGUAGGCGGCCUUCUAAGUCGAACGUGAAAUCCCUGGGCUCAACCCAGGAACUGCGUCCGAUACUGGGAGGCUUGAAUCCGGGAGAGGGAUGUGGAAUUCCAGGUGUAGCGGUGAAAUGCGUAGAUAUCUGGAGGAACACCGGUGGCGAAGGCGGCAUCCUGGACCGGUAUUGACGCUGAUGCGCGAAAGCCAGGGGAGCAAAGCGGG